AAUUCUCAUAUGAAGUUACAACGAUGCCUCUCUGCCUCUCUCCUUGUCUUCUCAAACAAAACUAGGGUUUGAAGUUCUCUCAGUUUCAGGCUAUAUAGUUGAAUUUUUUCAGGCUUUCAGCCUUUCAGGUACUUUCGACACCUUAUUCAAUUUUUUCCUUUAUUCUAUCACUUGGAUUGUGAAAUAUACCGAGUACAAGAGUGGGAAUCAACUCGGUGGACUGCAACUUGGUGAUUGUGAUCGUUAAAAGCAUGAUAUAUCAAAGUUUCCUUAUAAAUAUCUCACGAUAUGCCCAUUAGACGCAGUACAGUACAUAAGCUAUUAUGCAACAUAAUGCUAAUAAUUUCAUAAAAUAUGUUCUUGAUUCUCUGUUUGUAAUAUUUUUUGUAUCAUAUUGAUGUUAAAAUAGUAACAAUGUAACAUAUUAUGAAUCGUUUUAGGUAUCCAUUUUUUACUAACAAUUCUGAUUUCUGAGUCCAACCCGUAGCAUCAUCUCCUCAAAGCUCAAGAAGGUAUCAUUUGUACUUUCACAGUUUAGAAUGCAUUAUGAUUUGACAAUUUGCUGCUUGAUUGUUGUUUACAAAUCAGAUUUUAUAGUGACACAAACACAUGGCUGAAAAUAUUACAACUGAUAAGGUGGUCAAUGGAAGUAAGGCUUCUAAUUCAAAUGCUACGAGUCAAAUACAACUGGUAAGGCAAGAAAGGAAAAAGAGGUCUCGUGCAUGGGAACAUUUUGGACCAUUUGUUGAUAAAGACGGGAAUAAGAAAUCAAAGUGCAAGCAUUGUGGUGCAACUUAUCAUUCUGACUCUAAAAAUGGUACGACGGGAAUGCUUACUCAUUUGUUAACAUGUCCAAAAAUGCCUAGAGAUGUUCCUAAAAGUCAAAAGGAAAUAGGAUUUCAACCUGUUCCAGGGGGUGCUAUGGAUGAUGUAGUUGUUGUUUCUUGGAAGUUUGAGCAAGAACAAUGUAGGAAGGCUUUAUGCCGCAUGGUGAUUAUUGAUGAACUUCCCUUCAAGUUUGUUGAGAAAGAAGGUUUUAGAAGCUUUAUGAAAGUAACACAACCUCAUUUUAAGAUUCCUUCUCGUAGCGCUGUGAUGCGGGAUUGUUUAGAUCUUUUUAAUGAAGAAAAGAAGAAGUUGAGGAGGUCUUUUAAAGAAGCACAACAGAGAGUGUGUCUUACCACCGAUACUUGGACCUCUUUACAGCGUAUUAACUAUAUGUGUCUCACUGCACAUUGGAUUGACAGUGAAUGGAUUAUGCAUAAGAGGUUUCUUAAUUUUUGUCCAAUUUCUAGCCAUAGAGGUGAAGAUAUGGCUAAUGAGAUUAGUAAGUGUUUAUGAGAAUGGGGCUUAGAUAAAAAAUUUACUAUCACAGUUGAUAAUGCUAGUUCAAAUGAUGUGACUGUGAAAGAGUUGUCAAAGCAAUUCACUAAACGGGUGACUAAUUUUAUGAAUGGAAAGCACCUUCACGUGAGGUGUAUGGCUCACAUUAUAAAUUUUGUUGUCUAAGAUGGUAUGAAAGAGGCUGCUUUGUCUAUUGAAGGGGUUAGACAAGCAGUGAGAUAUAUUAUAUUAGGCAGUCUCCUGCAAGGUGGCAGAAGUUCCAAGAAUGUUGUGAAGCUGUUGAUAUCAAUUGUAAAAAAUCUUUAUGUUUGGAUGAUGCUACGAGGUGGAACUCCACCUACUUGAUGUUGAAUAGGGCUAUUGAGUAUGAGAAUAUUUUUUCGAAUAAUGCUGAUCGUGAUAUUGGCUUAUCGCAUUAUCUCGAGUUUGUUGAUUUGGAACUCCUUUAGGUACACUUUUGAGUAAUGAUUGGGAGCAUGUAAAGAGAGUUGAAAAAUUCCUUCAAAUCUUUUAUGAUCUUACUGAAAAGGUAUCUGGAUCACUUUACGUCACAUCAAAUUUUCACUUUCUUAAAAUUUGUGAGGUUGCUUGUUAUUUGAAACAAUUGAUAUCCAGUGAAGAUGUUUUUUUUUUUUUGGGUUCAAUUGCAAAGAAUAUGAAAGAAAAAUUUGACAAGUAUUGGGGUAAUCCAAAAAAAAUGAAUAAGAUGAUUUUCAUUUUUUGUGUUUUGGAUCCUCGUCACAAGCUGGUUUCGAUUGGUUUUGCACUUAAGAGGAUGUUUGGGGAAAUAGAAGGACCAGUUAUAGAGAAGGAAGUGAAUAACUACAUGACUUCAUUGUUUGGUGAGUAUGUAAAGUCUUUUUCAAAAGAAAAGGGCAGUCAACUCUUCAUUUGAAACUUCUAGUUCAUUGCCUUCAAGUUCAGGUAGUACUAUCCAAUCGAUAGGAUCUUUAGGGUCAUUCAUGGAUUAUCUAAUGAAACAUAAAGCUGGAAAUGGAGCAGCGGAUUCUAAAACAGAAUUGGAAAAAUAUAUUAGUGAAGAAAAUGAAGUUGAAAGGCCUAACUUUUAGGUCUUGUCUUGGUGGAAAAUAAACUCACCUCGAUUUCCUGUUCUUGCUGAGAUGGCUUGGGAUGUGUUAGCUAUUCCUAUUUCAAGUGUGGCAUUCGAGUGUGCAUUUAGUACCAGAGGACGUAUUUUGGAUUCAUUUAGGAGUUCAUUGACUCCUAUAUUGGUGCAAGCUCUAGUGUGCCUUCAAGAUUGGAUUCGGAGUGAAAAAAAAAACCUGUUAGUGUUGAAGAAGAUCUAGAUAACCUCGAGCAGCUUGAACAAGAUUUGGCCAAUACUAGCAUUCUUGAUGAUUGACGUGGAGCGGUGGAGUCAAAACUCUUCAUUUUUGCACUUGGAUCUGAUGAAUUAACUGUUCAUUUUUAAAGGUGCUGGUUGGUGCUGCUGUAGUUUUUUGGAUCUUUGAAGUUGCUGGCUUGGUGCUGCUGCCUGCUGCUUACUGCUUUAUUUUGUAUUUUAUAGUUUUAUUUUGCAUUUUAUAGCUUCUCUUGCAGCUGAUGUUUUCUUUCCGAAGAAGUUAGCCUUUUUUAUGAACAAAUGAACUACGAACUGGCUUGUUUUGUUUUUGAAAUAUUGCUAC